rnacentral:rRNA from 1 species
CUGAGAGAGGUGCAUGACCGUCGUCAGUUCGUACUGUGAAGCAUCCUGUUAAGUCAGGCAACGAGCGAGACCCACGCCAACAGUUGCCAGCUCGUCCUCCGGGAUGGUGGGGACACUGUUGGGACCGCCUCUGCUAAAGAGGAGGAAGGAAUGGGCAACGGUAGGUCAGCAUGCCCCGAAUUAUCUGGGCUACACGCGGGCUACAAUGGGUGGGACAAUGGGUAUCGACACCGAAAGGUGAAGGCAAUCUCCUAAACCCAUCCGUAGUUCGGAUUGUGGGCUGCAACUCGCCCACAUGAAGCUGGAAUCUGUAGUAAUCGUGUCUCAAAAUGGCACGGUGAAUAUGUCCCUGCUCCUU